rnacentral:rRNA from 1 species
UACAGGGGGUGCAAACGUUGCUCGGAAUCAUUGGGCGUAAAGCGCACGUAGGCGGUCUGUUAUGUCGGAUGUGAAAGCCCUUGGCUCAACUGAGGAAGUGCAUCCGAAACUGGCAGGCUAGAGUACUAAAGAGGAUCGCGGAAUUCCCGGUGUAGCGGUGAAAUGCGCAGAUAUCGGGAGGAACACCAAUGGCGAAGGCAGCUCGCUGGGACGGUACUGACGCUGAGACGCGAAAGCGUGGGGAGCGAACAGG